rnacentral:rRNA from 1 species
UACGUAGGGGGCAAGCGUUGUCCGGAAUGAUUGGGCGUAAAGCGUCCGCAGGUGGCUGUGUAAGUCUGCUGUCAAAGAGCAAAGCUCAACUUUGUAAAGGCAGUGGAAACUACACGGCUAGAGUGCGUUCGGGGCAGAGGGAAUUCCUGGUGUAGCGGUGAAAUGCGUAGAGAUCAGGAAGAACACCGGUGGCGAAGGCGCUCUGCUAGGCCGCAACUGACACUGAGGGACGAAAGCUAGGGGAGCGAAUGGG